GGGAGGGAAAACUGAAUGGGAAGAAAUCAUGGAAGGAGAUAAACCAUGAGAGACUCUUGACUCUGGGAAAUGAACUGAGGGUUGCUGAAGGGAAGGUGGAUGGAGCAAUGGGUUAAGUGGGUGAUGAGCCUUAAGGAGGGCAUGUGAUGUGAUGAGCACUGGGUGUUAUAUGCUACUGAUGAAAUACUGAACACUAUAUCUGAAACUAAUUAUGUACUAUAUGUUGGUUAAGUGAAUUUAAAUAAAAAAUAUAUUGAUAAUGUACUAAAAGUUUUUUGGAUUUAAAAAAUUAAAUAUGAAACUUCUUGUCAAUUAAUUCUGAAUAAUUCUAACAUUAAGGGAGGCAUUUGUGAGACAAUGUUUUGGGAUUAUUUUAAAUAAAAAGAAUACUGCAUAUAACAUGAUUGAGUUGAUAUUGCUAUCAUCAUCUCAAAUCCUUCCAUUGAUUUAUAAACCUUAGGCAGAAAUAAUGCCUUCCAUUUGGUUAGGAGUAAAAUUGGAUGCAGAACAAAUAAUUGAAAAACAUCGCAAAAAUAUUCAAAGGAAUUGGCUCAUUUGGGUGAAUGGGCCAGCAUAUGGCAAGUGUGUUUCAACACAGACAAGUUUUAUAUUACUUUUUAUAGGAGAAAACCCCAAUUCAUUCUUCAACAAAGAGCUUCAUAAAAUUUUCUUAAACUGUCUAGGACAAAAUGUUUAUAGAAGUAAUGCAGCACAAAAGUUGAUCAACAGAAAUCUAAAUAUUAGAAAAUAAAUUUUUAUAUCCAGAGAACUUUUUUUCUUAAGCUAAGAGAGCAGUAGAGAUGAUUUAUUGUACACAUGUUACAUUUAGCCACAAAUGAAAACAGAAUUAGUCCUGAAAGUCAUGGUUCUUGGGCAGCUGACCAAAAGGGACUAUUUUGGUAAAAGCAAGGUGGGUCUCUCAAAAAUGAUCAUUGUCAUCAGAUGGUGAUGAAUGUUCUAGAUCCAUUGAAUCAAGCUCUAGAAAGUAGGGAUGCAGUCCAACAAUUUAUACCAGCAUCCCUAGCCUUGGAUUUCUUUAUUUCUGCUUCUGUGGCUUCCAUGGGUGCACAAGCUAGCAGUUUACUUGGACCUCUGCCUCCUCUUUCUUCUUUUAGGCUUCAGCCUGCACAUUCGCUUCUUCCUCCACUUGGCUCUCAUGAAGCGGAGGUUUCCAAGAAGAUGGCGCUAAGGCCAAAAGCAAUAUCCAAAGAGUGGCCACAAAAGACACUGGCAUAAUAUUUGGGAGACUAAGGCUCCACGCCCAACAUGGAGCUUGAACUCAUGACCUUGAGAUCAAGACUUGCA